UACGGAGGGUGCAAGCGUUGUUCGGAAUUAUUGGGCGUAAAGGGCGCGUAGGCGGAUCUGCAAGUCGGGGGUGAAAGCCCGAGGCUCAACCUCGGAACUGCCUUCGAUACUGCGGGUCUCGAGUCCGGGAGAGGUGAGUGGAAUUCCUAGUGUAGAGGUGAAAUUCGUAGAUAUUAGGAAGAACACCAGUGGCGAAGGCGGCUCACUGGCCCGGUACUGACGCUGAGGCGCGAAAGCGUGGGGAGCAAACAGG
rnacentral:rRNA from 1 species